UCAAAAAACAUGGAUAAUCCAGAGGUGCUGAGACAUUUUGCCUCUUUGUGGAGGUGGGAAUGUGGUCUUAUAUUAUCACCAACAUGGGUACCUGAAGUGUUGAUGGAGGAAACCGCUCACAAUGUCUUCGACCAGAACAAGCGGAAAGCAGAUACUCUUGCUGAUUCUGAUCACCCAUCUAAAACCCGAAAAGUCACAGAGUACAUCUCAUCAUCUGCAGCGCCUAAUAUUUUUCUCGAUAACUCGGCUGAAACCAUGUCCAGAUUAUUCCCCAUUCCCACCACCGCUCGUGAAAUGUGUAAGUUGUAUCCCUUGCUCGAAAUUGUUUGACUAUGGUCUGGAUUAGAUUUCAUCUCUAUCAAUCUGCCGUAGUUAAUUUUAAUGGAUCUAUUUUCUAGUAUAAUUUUACUGAUCUGAUGUUUCGUAAUAGUUUUUUUAAUCGUUGUCCGUUUUGACCUCACAGGUCGUGCGACACUUGUCUUCUGGGUCAUUGAGGAUGAAAAUAUGCCUGCAGUUACCGAGUUUUGGUCGAAACAUGACAAAAUCACUUUAGCUCUCCUCAAAGAGGGUUACCGUGGGAGGGUGACAACCAACGGUUACGUUGUUAAUCCGAAAUUGCCAAAAGAACAUUUUUGGAAUGCUUAUGGGGAUCACGGUAUCACAAUCUAUUUGGAUCCAGAAGGUGAUGAAAGUAUAAGAUAUAACAGGAUGUUACUACACCUUCUUUAUUGGGGACGCAUGAUGAAAUCCGAAAGUAAUUUGGUGGUACUCUCAAGAAACCAAAACUUCGGACAAGGCACCAAGUUCGACCGUGUACGUGAGACUUUGGAAGAGUUAAGUAUCAAAGUUGCCGUAUUAAAUCCUGAUAAAGUCGAUGACUAUGUUCUCGACCAAGACGGCCUCUUGCUCUCAUGAUGGGACUAAUGUACGGCCUCUUGAUCUCAUGAUGGGACUAAUGUUAAUUUCAAUGCUUUUAUGAUGGGAGUAAAAAUAUUAUUAGGACAUCUUUUGCUUUUAAAUUGUGUGUACAAGACUAUUCUCGAAUCAAAAACUCAUAUAUAUAACCUUUGUUUUUGCAUCAUAUAUGUUACUUGCCAUCUUCUUCUGGUUUCUUGAAAUUCGAUCCUUAGCUGCUUUGUUUUUGUAGUUUUAACUUAAGAGCUAGCUUCUUAAUCUUGUUCAUAGGAACACAAAAUUAUAUCAACUAGCAAAAUAGCAAAACCUCUGUUUUCAAGCUUACCACUAUUUAGUACUAAAACAUCACUAAAUGAAACAAGAUUCUUCAGAUACAUAAUAGUACAAAGUUGUUAUAAUAAAAAAAACAACUAAAACUUAGUCGAAAUUGUUUGUCUAUGAUCUGGAUUAGCUUUCAUCUGGUCGAUCUGUCAUUAGUAAACUAGCGUAUAUCUAAUCGUCGAUCUGCCAUAGUAAAUCCCUUAAUUAUAACUUAUUUUAUUCACGAUCUGAAUUUUUUUUCCGUCUCGUAAUUGUUUAAUCCUGAAACCUGGCAGAUGCUGACGCAUGCAUCUUUUGGGACAUGGGGAGUUACCCAAUCCCUAAUGGUGUGGAUCCUUGUUUUGUACUAAAGAAAAUCAAAUCAGAGCUCGCGGAUAUAGGUUGUAGUGUGGAUGUGUCAAUCCACGCUUACGGUAAUAAUGAUACAUUCUCGGAUGGUGAAUUACUAUCUAAAUUUUCAGCUGCCGAAAUCAAAUUCGAUCUCUUACCCGAAGGUGAUAUUAUUCUCCUUCUCUGUUUAUUUUUUUGACAUAUACAUGUCGUCCCUAAUCUAGAUCUCUGUUGAUGUACUUUCCAGGAGAUAAAGACGCGGGAAUUUAUUCCAUGUUAGUGGACAUGUUCCAAUGGGCACUGAAAAGUUCUUCAACAAGAAAUUUGAUUGUCCUCUCAAAAAACAUGGAUAAUCCAGACGUGCUGAAACAUUUUGACUCUUUGUGGAGGUGGAAAUGUGGUCUUAUAUUAUCACCAACAUGGGUACCUGAAGUGUUGAUGGAGGAAACCACUCACAACGUCUUUGACCAGAACAAGCGGAAAGCAGAUACUCUUGCUGAUUCUGAUCACCCAUCUAAAACCCGUAAAGUCACAACAGAGUACAUCUCAUCAUCUGCAGAGCGUGAUUUUUUUCUCGAUAACUCGGUCGAUAACUCGGCUGAAAACCAUGUCCAGAUUAUUCCCCAUUCCCACCACCGCUCGUGAAAUGUGUAAGUUGUAUCCCUUGCUCGAAAUUGUUUGACUAUGGUCUGGAUUCAUCUCUAUCAAUCUGCCAUAGUUAAUUUUAAUGGAUCUAUUUUCUAGUAUAAUUUUACUGAUCUGAUGUUUCGUAAUAGUUUUUUUAAUCGUUGUCCGUUUUGACCUCACAGGUCGUGAGACACUUGUCCUCUGGGUCAUUGAGGAUGUAAAUUUGCCUGCAGUUACCGAGUUUUGGUCGAAACAUGACGAAAUCACUUAUGCUCUCCUCAAAGAGGGUUACCGUGGGAAGGUGAGAAUCCAGGGUUACGUUGUUAAUCCGAAAUUGCCAAAACGAUAUUUUAGGGAUGCUUAUGGGGAUCACGGUAUCACAAUCUAUUUGAAUCCAGAAGAAGGUGAUGAAAGUAUAAGAUAUAACAGGAUGUUACUACACCUUCUUUAUUGGGCACACAUGAUGGAAUCCCAAAGUAAUUUGGUGGUACUCUCAAGAAACCAAAACUUCGGACAAGGCACCAAGUUCGACCGUGUACGUGAGACUUUGGAAGAGUUAAGUAUCAAAGUUGCCGUAUUAAAUCCUGAUAAAAGUCGAUGACUAUGUUCUCGACCAAGACGGCCUCUUGCUCUCAUGAUGGGACUAAUGUUAAUUUCAAUGCUUUUAUGAUGGGAGUAAAAAUAUUAUUAGGACAUCUUUUGCUUUUAAAUUGUGUGUACAAGACUAUUCUCGAAUCAAAAACUCAUAUAUAUAACCUUUGUUUUUGCAUCAUAUAUGUUACUUGCCAUCUUCUUCUGGUUUCUUGAAAUUCGAUCCUUAGCUGCUUUGUUUUUGUAGUUUUAACUUAAGAGCUAGCUUCUUAAUCUUGUUCAUAGGAACACAAAAUUAUAUCAACUAGCAAAAUAGCAAAACCUCUGUUUUCAAGCUUACCACUAUUUAGUACUAAAACAUCACUAAAUGAAACAAGAUUCUUCAGAUACAUACUAUUCUUGACAAAAUCUAUAUUCCACACAUAACUCCAGAAUCUUACGAAAUCUAAAACAUUUGCAUAUGUAUAACACUAAAAACCAGAAGAAGAGGAUUUGAUUACAACACAAACUCACCUUCUUCAAUGAAGACAGACAAACCAAAAUCAGUAGCUUUAAGCAUAGCAUUCUCAUCAGUACUAGCAAGCAAGAAAAUAGUAUCCAGUUUAAGUCACCUUCUUCAAUGAACAACACAAAUAGUAUCCAGUUUAAGUCAGCAACUCUUUUGCAUGGUCGUAGAAAAUGUUGGCUAUCUAAUUAAUUUUAAGUUCCUCUAUCAAGGCUUUUCGAUUUAUCAGUCAUUGGACUGGAAGAAGUUCCCUUGUGUUGGCAGUGUGAUACCACUUCUCAUCAUGGCACAAAAUUCUUCAUAGUUUAUUCUUCCAUCCUGCAAAAGAGACCCAUUAAUCUCAAUCUUGGCUUAAGACUUGUUCAUAAUUUGUUUGAUGCUAUGUAGAGGGAAAACAAAACUUACAUUAUCUGUAUCGACUUCCGCUAUGACUUCUUUGAUGCUAGCUUCAUCUCCCAUACCAUAUUCUUUCAUGGCUGACUCCAACUCAUCCAUUGUGAUAAACCUGUGUUAAGAGAAAUCCAAAUUGGUUUCUUAAAGUAGCUCCAGUCUAUAUUUACAUUGUUCCUCAAGGGACCAAACUUACCAGCUGUUGUCUUUGUCGAAGUAUUGGAAGGCUUUGAAUACGUGUUCAUCUCGAUCAAAUCUGUAUCUAUGCAUCGUCGCUGAGAUAAACUCGAUGUAGUCUAUUGUUCCAUUACCAUCUACAUCAGCCUGAAACAUAUAUAAAAUAAGGCUAUAUAUUCAGGCUCCAUCUUUUUUUAGAAGAAUAAGAAACAUUAGAAGCAGAGCAAAGAGGAUGGCAAUACUUACGGCUUCCAUGAGUUGCUUCACUUCAGCUUCAGUGAGUUUAGAGCCAAGUUUAGCCAGCCCGGUUUUCAGUUCUUCGUAAGUAAUUGUUCCGCUUUUAUCGGUAUCCAUAUUCGCAAACAUUGUUUUAAGACCUUUAAUUUCCUCUUCCGAGAGACUCUCUGCAAUAACCUAGCAAUAUCAGAAGCACAAGCAAUGAUUAGCCAAAACAAAAGAGAAUGUGCAACUUGCAGAAGAAACGUUUGUAGUUUUUACCUUAAGAGCUAGCUUCUUAAGUUUGUUCAUUGCUCGAAAUUGCUUCAUUCGGGAUAACACAGCACUAUCAAUAUGCUUAUCCUCCUCUUAUCCAAGGAUGUUCUAAAAAAAGCACCACAAGGAUCACUACAGAUUAGUAAAGCACUGAAAAGUAAGUUGACUACAAAACAGCACUUUAGAGAGACCAAAGGGAAUUUACCAAGAGCUUGUGCCGCUGAGAUUCGUUGCUUAGGGUCCUUAGUAAGCAACUUCCUCACAAGGUCUUUAGCACUCUCAGAUAUAGAAGGCCAUGGUUGACUCUCAAAAUCAAUUUCGCCCUUUAUAAUCUCAUCAAAUAUCCCCUUCUCAGUUUCUACAAUGUAACACAACAACAACAAGAAUAGAAAACAUAUAAAUCACAUAGUUAAGUGGAUAAACAAAUCGAAGACUUUGUCUGCUUUUAUUACAUUGUAAACCACAAAGCAAUAUGUAUAGAACAAUCCCUGCACUCCAAAUAUCGAUUUCUUUUCCAUAACUUCGUCUUAAUACUUCAGGAGCAACAUAGUAAGCACUUCCUACUAUACCUCUGUAAACUUUUCCUGCAAUUUUUGUUUUACGGUUUAGAAACAAAACACAUCAAGCAUAUGAACACAAGAUUAUAUCAACUAACUAAACUGGCAUAAUUUGACAAAUAAGAAAUGGAAAAGAACACACAAGUUCUAUAAUAAUCCAUUUACACACAUUCUCAAGUUCACACAAAACUAGCAAACCUCUGUUUUCAAGCUUACCACUAUUUACUAAAACAUCACUAAAUGUAACAAGAUUCUUAAGAUACAUACUGUUCUUGACAAAAUCUAUAUCCACAACAUAACUCCAACAUUCAUCAGAAUCUUAAGAAAUCUAAAACAUUUUCAUAUAUAACUAACAAGCAGAAGAAGAGGAUUUGAUUACGCAGACAAACCAAAAUCAGUAGCUUUAAGCAUAUGAAGCAGGCAAAGAGGAUCACAAUACUCACGGCUUCCAUGAGUUGCUUCACUUCAGCUUCAGUUAGUUUAGAGCCGAGUUUAGCCAACCCGGUUUUCAGUUCUUCGUAACUGAUUGUGCCGCUUUUAUCGGUAUCCAUAUUCGUAAACAUGGUUUUAAGACCUUUAAUUUCCUCUUCCGAGAGACUUUCUGCAAUAACCUGUAAAACAAAAUCAGAAGCACAACCAAUGAUUAGCCAAAACAAAAGAGAAUAUGCAACUUGCAGAAGAAACGUUUGUAGUUUUUACCUUAAGAGCUAGCUUCUUAAGCUUGUUCACUGCUCGGAAUUGCUUCAUGCGAGAUAACACAGCACUAUCGAUAGGCUUGUCUGGCGCUUCUCCUCCUCUAAUCCAAGGAUGUUCUGAAAGAAAACCCACAAGGAUCUCUACAGAUUAGUAAAACAUUGCAAAAUAAGAUGAGCGCACUUGGAGAGACCAAAGGGACUUUACCAAGAGCUUGUGCCGCUGAGAUUCGUAGCUUAGGGUCCUUAGUAAGCAACUUCCUCACUAGGUCUUUAGCACUCUCAGAUAUAGAAGGCCAUGGUUGGCUCUGAAAAUCAAUUUCUCCCUUUAUAAUCUCAUCAAAUAUCCCCUUCUCAGUUUCUACAAUGUACCAACAACAACAACACACAUAAACAACAUAACUAAAAGGAUAAACCAAAUCAAACAAUUGGUCAGAUUUUAUUACCAGCCCAAAAAGGAGGCACACCACAAAGCAAGAUGUAUAGAAUAAUCCCUGCACUCCAAAUAUCGAUUUCCUUUCCAUAACUUCGCCUUAAUACUUCAGGAGCAACAUAGUAAGCACUUCCUACUAUAUCCCUGUAAACUUUCCCUGCAAUUUUUGUUUUACAGUUUAGAAACAAAACACAUCAAGCAUAUGAACACAAGAUUAUAUCAACUAACUAAACUGGCAUAAUUUGACAAAUAAGAAAAGAAAAAGAACACACAAGUCCUAUAAUAACCCAUUAACACACAUUCUCAAAUUAAUACAAAACUAGCAAAACCUCUGUUUUCAAGCUUACCACUAUCUACUAAAACAUCACUAAAUGAAACAAGACUCUUAAGAUACAUACUAUUCUUGACAAAAUCUAUAUCCACAACACAACUCCAGAACCUUAAGAAAUCUAAAACAUUUGCGUAUGCAUAACACUAAAAACCAGAAGAAGAGGAUUUGAUUACACAAACUUACCUACUUCAGUGAACACAGACAAUCCAAAAUCAGUAGCUUUAAGCAUAUGAAGCAAGCGAAGAGGAUCACAAUACUCAAACAUCACUAAAUGAAACAAGACUCUUAAGAUACAUACUAUUCUUGACCAAAUCUAUAUCCACAACACAACUCCAGAAUCUUAAGAAAUCUAAAACAUUUGCAUAUGUAUAACACUAAAAACCAGAAUAAGAGGAUUUGAUUACACAAACUUACCUUCUUCAAUGAACACAGACAAUCCAAAAUCAGUAGCUUUAAGCAUAGCAUUCUCAUCAGUACUACUAGCUAGCAAGAAAUUCUCAGGCUUAAGAUCACGAUGUAUCACUCCCAUGAAAUGGCAAAUCUGAACAACAUUCAAAAUCGAUCUAAUAACACCAGCAGCUGCUUUCUCAGAGCAGUUGAUUUUCCAAUACCAUUUGUUCCAACCAACCCUAGCACCUGCCCCGGCCUUGGAACUGGGAGCCUGGAAGUAAAGACAGAGUUUCCAUUGUCUUAACACUACAAGAGGGGUAGAAUAUUCAGGAAAAUAAUAAGAUAAACGAACAUGUGAAACUUAAAAGUGUUUGGCCCAUAUCUUUCUCUAAGUCUCUUGGAAGAUUGAUAAUCUGAAUAGCUUCAAACGAGCAUUUCUACAAUUGUGCAACAGCAGAGUAGUACAUUCAGCGUCCCCGUAAUGGGGACAAUUCCAGAGGCAUAUUCGAAAUUGGAAAGAGCCUAUGCAUACAUACACCUUCACACAAAUACCGCAACCAAUGCACAAAUCCUCUGAGAUAAAAGCAUGCUUGGAACCAAUAGUCACCUCAAUACAAAGUUUUCCUGAGAUAAAAGGCAAGUUAAUGCAUAAGUGGCCCUAAAAAUUUGUAGAGCUACAACAAAAAGUCAAACUUCAAGUACGACUAUAAGCUAAUGGCUUCACAUAAACACCUAACCAUCCUCUGUGUACUAAUUGGCAUGACGCACAUGACAUAGCUGAUCAAUUACAGUACAGCAAUAAUAAACCCAUAUGAAAGACCACAAAUUAAAAUUGGGAAUCAGAAUAUACACCUGUCUUGACCACAGGACAACUCUUCUUGCACUCUUGGCGAAAUUUAUUUGGCUAGCAACAGUCAGAACUCACAAUAGCAAUACGUGUCAAUCGACCUGCCAUCUGUCAACAGACCUACAAAAUACAUGAAAUCAUAUAGUUUAACUGCCUGAGGAAGAUACAACAUAUUCAUACACAAUUUGAUAAAAGAACACAACUGCUUUUAUUCCUACAGAACCCAUUUCUUUACGCAGGAUCAUGAACACCAAUCUAUUAACAAGUAUCACUUCUAUGGAAACUAAACAAAUCGAUUUAAAUAUACCAAAUGUAGACGUUACGCUUAGGCAAAGGAACGAAAUGAACUACAUAGGAAAGUAGCACAAAAAGAAUAUCCAAAGACAAUCCACUUACAAUCAGAGCCAGUAAUAAUAACUUGAGUACCCCCAAGAUACUAACAAUGAUGAAAUAAUAGUUGACCUGCAAAAUCUUAGAAGCAAGAUAUCUGCAAAUUCAAGCUCAAAAACCGCAAAUUGAAAGCUUCGAAUAAAAAAAGGUGAACCGACUUUAUGAAUUCCAAAACGUCAUAUGACUAGGUAUUCAGUUUGCAUCAAUGAGAUCAGCUAACUCGACAAGGAUAAAUCCUAACUACAACAGUCAAACCAGAGCUACAACAAAAAAAAGAUACCUAACACAUUUUCCUAGUAUUAAAACUGAUACCAAACACAUUUUCCCGCUAAUUCACUUCUUCUUAUUCACUGGCGGCCAUAUUGGUCUUGCGUUUCCAUCUGGCAUCUUCCCCCAAUCCCACACGUAGUUUCCAGUGCGAGUAAAUGCUUCAUUCGUCUUGCCGAGUAUGGCUAAGAACACAAUGUAAUUUUUUGCUUUCAGGAACUCCAUGGAGAGUUUAAAAUCGGCAUCUCUCGAAACGAGAAGGACAAAGUUUGAUGGUGAACCGUUGAGUACGUGGCGUUGGAGUUGUUGGAGGAUCAUACGAUCAGCUACCUCCCUAAGUCGCAUGUAGUAAUCUCCAAAAUCCCCCACUUCGCGGUCACCGUUACAGACAGAGCAAUAACGACCGGUUAUAACAGAAUCUUCCAUAUGAAAACCCAUAUCAUCAAGUUCGUCUUCAUGAUCGUAAACAAAAUCCAGAUUCGUGUUACCAGCUCCGUACUUUCGUUUUGCCAAAUGUAACUUAGGAUGUAAUGUUUUUAGAGACGAAUUGAUGUUUGCCUCUAACUGGGCCACUUGAUCAGACCUGAUUGGGGAAUUCUCGAAGUCCCAUAGAAAAGGUACUUCGAAACGUGGAUCCACUUCGGCUGAAAUAAAAGAUAAAAAAAUUGUUAGCAUGCUUCUGAAAGUAGCUUUUUGGUUUGUGGUUCUAUGCUAUCUAUCACAUACCUUCAGAUUGAAGGUCCUUCUUUUUCUCUGGUGGUUGGAUGGGGGGAAUAUUUGGUCGUGGGCGGCUGAGAAUUUGAGCAUACGUAGCUAAAAUCCCAGAAAAACAAGAACAUCAGCAUAAGAAGUUGUAUCUAUACCACAAUCUACUUAUAAAAGUAGCCAUUCACACACCUUUUUCAGGAGAUCCCAUUGAUGCUCGUGCUGUAGGGCAAACAACAGGUGUUCUGUUAGAGUUAGCGAAACAACAGCUGCAAGUAAAAACAAUGUUUUCAGAAACAUUAAUAGAGAACCUCUGAAUUUGGUGAAAGAUCGGAUUCAGAUAUGGAAAUCAACAUUGCUAGUCUAGAACUGGUAUCUAGACCAAAUUAGAAACUUCUACGAAACCUAAAAAAGAAUGUCAUGACACAAUAAUGCCAAGAUCUUAUUAUCAGUUUGACAAGAGAAACCUUCCAGCUCAAUUUACUAAUUCUCUAUUCCAGAUUUGUCUGCUCUUCUGACAUUAGAGUUGCUAAGUGACGAACUAUUCCUGAUCAUUGUGUUGCAAAAGAUCACACCAAGUUUGAAUUGAACGACGUGAAGCAUAGCAAUAAGAGGGUUCCGUUUUGCAAUUCAUCAAGAAACAACAUUCAUGAGCAAAUUUCGAUACCACCCAAGAGAAAAUUCAACCGAAAAAAGACAAAAUGGAGCUGAAAUUGAAACCAGAGAUACAGAGAAAACUCAACAAAGUAAGCUAAAACGCGAACCUAAACGAAGCAGUAACGUGAAAAUGGGCAGAGAAUGAGGCAAAUCAAUGUUGAAGAAGAUAACUUUCGACGGGAUUUUGGGCGGGGAGAAGAAAGGCUCGGAGAGUGGAUGACUAGCGAGUCCCCGUUGAAACCCUAAUUCUCCGACUGGUCCAACUCAAAGCCAUCUCCGCCGGUCAGAUUUUUAAGAGUCGAGAAAGAUUCUUUCUUGAGAUGGACUAAUGGGCCUCUUAAUUUAAAAUUUGACCCAAGUUUAAGGGAGUAUUCUUUACAUAUGGCCCAAAUUUCUCUUAGUUUAAACUAUGGCCCAAACGAAAUUGUCAAUCAAUAAAAUCUUUUUUUUUUUUGUGCAAAUCAAUAAAAUCUAACAUUGCGACUUUCUUUAGUGUAUUGUAUUGUACAAUCUGCAAUUCUGCAUAGUAGAAGUGCACUUUAUUUUGUGAUGGGAGACAAAGAAUAUGCAUGCAAAAAAAAAAAAAAAAAAAAAAAAAAAAAGAAAAGAAUAUGCAUGCACUAACUCCAAAUCCACCAUCUAGACGGAAUAUUUAAUGACCAAAAGCAGUGUUUGUUUUUCUCUUUUGUUAGUCUUUCUUAUUAGAUACUAGAUAGAGAAAGAAAGAAAGAAAGAAAAAUAUAAGACUCGUAGUUCUAUAUAUUCUACGAGUAGCAGAUUGGACUAAUUCUCUCCAAAAAAAAAAAAAAAAAAAAAAAAGAGAUAUGAUGAUACUUCAUUUCACGGGAUUCCAUUUGUUUGUUUUUUUUGGUUAUGGUGGAUUCUAUUUCUAAAUUUACUAUCUAUCCACUAUAAAACGAAAAUAUCAGAUAAAUAAAUCCAUAUUUUCUCAUAAAUAUCCUUCUAAGACACUAUCUGUAUAAACAUUUUAUUAGAUAACAACCAUGAAAAUCGUAUAAAACCAAAAUAAGAGACAAUUUAUUCAAGAAGCCAGUUUACCUAGUUAUAUCAAAGGGGCCAAUCAGGAUCUAUUGUAAACUAUAUCCAAUUAGUCUCAUUGUCAUGGAAAAAGGUUUGAUUUAAUUUGACGAUUAAAAAAAAAAAAAAAAACGGUAUAAGAAUAUUUUUGGCUAUAUAUAGGCUAGGACAAGCUCCAUAUGAAUUGAUUUGAACUUACGAAAUAUUUGUGAUGUACUGUGAUGUGUUUCAAGUUCUACCAAGUCUAGGAACAUAAACAGUAUUACUAUAAAUUUUAGAUUAGGGAUCCUAAUUUGUGGUCACAACAUAGGUAUGAAUAUAUAUAUUUAGAAAUCUAGCUUUCAUAUAUAUACCAAUGUUUUAACAUAAAAAUAAGUAGACUGAAUAAGAGAAUUUAGAAGAGCUGAGUUGGUUAUUUCACAUAUAAGUGACUGAAGGGCCUAAAGGCUGAAACUUCUCAUCAAGUUUUCUAAACACCAUUUCGAGCUAGUAAAUUGAAACAUUUUUUAUAUAAAUUAAAAUUCAACAGAAAAAAAAGAAACACAAUUAAGAGCGACCUGUAAAUACUGAAUCCUACUCAUUUCUUAAGGGGUUUAAAUUAUGUGUUAGAAAAAUUAUAACAAAGUAAGAAACUCAUGAACCUCAAAUCAAUCCAUCUUUACCAUGAUUAUAAUUUAGAGUGAUAUAGAAAGAGGUUAUUAGCUUGUGACUUGUGUAGCACGUCAUGAAUUCUUUUGACCCUUGUACUUAGACAAUCAUUAAUAAUCACUUCAUUUCUUUCUGGAUACCAAAAGAAAGUCAUAUCAAUCAAUUAUGAUGGAAAAAACGUCAAGAGAUUACUAUGGAAUUUGCAUAGUUUUUUUUUUUUAACGAUGACAUGAGCUCUGAGCCUUUCUGACACAUACUCCAUUACACCAUGACUGAGAAAAAAUAACAUUAGUAUAACCUCCUCUUGCUUGUUUUUGAGAUGAAAUUUAAAAUUGAGGAUUAAAGAUUUUCGUACCUUACUACAGCAAUAGAAUUUACUUUCUCCAGUUUCUAAAAUGUAUUUUAAGUACUUGAGAGACUGGGAGUAUCCUCGAUUCUUAACUCAGGGCCAUGACAACUUUCUUGGCACCACACAAUGAAAAAACUGGUUCAAUUAUUUAGAACUUAAUGAAAAGUAAUUGCUUCUAUGAACUUUCAUGUAUGAGUAUAUGUUGAUUUUUCAUGAAUGUCCAAUAGCACUAAGCAGAAUGAUGAUGGAAAACAGGCGAGCUUUUCUCCUCUAGCACCAACCACAUGAAUCAUAGAUACAUCAUAAGGAAUAUGUACGCAAUAUUUAUGUAUUUGCCCACUUGGUCAUGUCUUAAGGAAAACUCAGAAACGUCUAAACUCAAGCUUGAGUGUUACAUAUUUUACUUUAAUUCGAAAGAGUGAUAAAUAAGCAGGUCUUGGACCUCAAAUUAAACAUUUUUUUAGCUACAAUAAAGCAAAGUGAAAAGGCCUUUCUUAGGUAAAUAUGGAACUGUAGUGUAAACAUAUAUAUGAGGCAAUGAAAACCAAAAUAAUACAGAAGAUAUAUCGAACCUCUAACUCUUUCUACUAUAUACUCCCUCCGUUUCAUAAUAUAAGUCGUUUUGGAGAAAACAUUUUGUUUCAUAAUAUAAGUCGUUUUCAAGUUUCUAUGCACUUUAUAUAUUACUUUAAUAUUUUAUAAUUAUUUAUAUUAUGCAGUCUCUUUUAUGAUUGGUUGAACUUUUUAAAAGUAGAUCUUCUUAAUCUGCGUGCUUAAAGCUAAAACGACUUAUAUUAUGAAACGGAGGGAGUAGUAUAUACAAUAAUGUUCACAUGAAAAUUAAAUAUCAAGUAAAUAUGGAGACAAUGUCAUCUCCAAUUUAAGAUUCUUUUAAAACUGAAUUUUCUAAAGCCAUAACAGAACAUAACCAAAAAAAAAGAAAAUGGAAGACCUAUAAAAGAUCCAAAAAGUUACCUCAAACAAUAUAGUAUGAUUCUUUUUUAUUGAAAAAUGCAGGCCAAUCGCUCAUUGAACUUGUAACAUAGAGCGACAACAUAGAACCUAUACUGAGGUCCAUCAAAACCAAGCACCUAUCAGAUAAGUGGCCCCGACUUGGAACUAUAACAAUAGACCAGAUAUGUUCUAGUAGGAGAUCGAAUAUAUAUAUAUAAAAAUAUUGUAUGACAUCAUACAUAUGAUUUAAAAGAACAGAACAAAUGUCUGAUUUAAAAAGAGACAUACCCAAAUUUUAUGAUUUCUCCCAGAUCCCUCUAGCUUCAGCCUUCCUCUUUCUUGUAUAUUAACAAUCUUGAAGAAACAGAUAAUAAAUAUUAAUACAUGCAUACGAUAUAUAUGUGGAUGUUAAUGCGCACAUGAUCACACUGAUUUAAGCUGAAGAUGAAAGCCAUAUCAAUGAAGAAGGAAAAACAGAUUCAUACCUAAAAAAUGGGUUCGAUUGUCAAGUUGGAGACAAAAACCUAGCCGUGGUUCAUCGGAUAGGACUGUACAUUGAAGAGAGUCUGGUUGGAGAAGUAGCGUUGAAAUAGAGAGUUAGAUUGGCCUUUGGAGGAGAGAUGAAGCAAAUAAAUGAUAUGAUUAAUUGAUUAUGCAGUAUUAAACGAUUACAACGAAUAAGAGGAAGAGGAGUCGACAUUAUUACGACAAACAUGAAAAUGAAGAUUGUGUGGGAUCAAAUUUUGCCUUUCUCACGUGGCAUAUGGAAGAGAAUUUGUUAGAUGCUGAUCUGGCUAGAUUUAGAAGCUUCGAGUAGCAUCUUUUAUGAUUUCAUUAAUCUCCUAUUUAGUUAUUUAUAUAGAGCUUCUUUAUAUAUUCUAUAUCUAACCCUAUUUAUAGAGCUCCUCUCUUUGUGAAAAAAAAUUCAUGCACUAUAGUUUUUUUAUUUAACACUUUUUUUGGGUAUAACACUUUUUAUUUAACAGUUCCUUCACCUUAAACAAAUUCAUAACUUUAUUUGAUCAUGUCGACCUUCAUUUCGGAUACCAAGCGUUGUCACUUCGUAUGGAUAUUAAAUUAUGUCACUUCGUAUGGAUAUUAAAUUAUAACCUAUAUUUUAUUUUUAUUAAAAUAUGUAUACUAAAUUUUAAUAUUAUUUUGGAAUACGGAAUCUAAAAAUGAUCGUUUACAUAGUAAAAAUAAAUAAUAUCAAAUCAAACUUUGAAGAUGCAAAACAUGGUAGCCUAUCAAAUCGGUUUACUUCAGACGAGGCGUAUGCUAUAUAGACUUGUGUAUGAGAGAACCUCUGAAAGUUCGAAACAAGCAAUAUUGUAUGUAUAGUUUGGAGUUCAAACUUGUUACCAAAUUAAAGUGUAUAAGACACAAAAGUUAUUAUUUAAUAUAAAGUUUUUUAAAAAUAUAUAUAAAGUUAAACACAAUUUGGCCAAUACAAAGUACGAAACUAUUCGGGUACAAGUUGAUAUCAGGAUUUAGACAGUUAGCUAAUUCGAUUUAAUUAACUUUUGAUUAUAAGUAAUUAACCAUUGAUUGAUCCAUCUAUUAUUAUUUUUAAUCACAUUAAUCUUUAAAUAACUUUUCCUUCAAUCGCGUCCUCUUAAUUAUAAUAAGCAACAUGCAUCCACAUGCCUACCGAUCAUGGUUUCACAAUUUGUGUUGCAAUGCUUUAAUUGGGGGUUUUAUAAUAAGAAAAAAAAAGAAGAAAGAAUACGAAAACGUUGUUAUGAAGUAUAAUCAUUUGUAUAUUACUCUACAUCUUUUGUCAACGCGUAUAUAAUACGUAAUUGCGAUUAGUAUAUAAGUCGAUCACAAUAAAUUAAUUAUUAAUACUCAAUAUAUGUAUUAUUGCAAAACUUGAUAAACACUUUAACUCGAUCGUCAUGACUCAUAGGCAAAUCAACUAAAAAGAAUACUUGAUCAGCAGUCAAAAGACUCGUCGUAAUGUUUUUUUUUUUUUUUUUUUUUGACUCGUCGUAAUGUUCUUACUUGUUAUUAGUCAAAUAUUUAUCAAAACAUUGAUAUAAAACAUUUCAAUUUCUUACAAUUCAGUUUAUAACUUUCUAAAGUUAGUUUGACUUUGGUACAUUAUUGAAACUAGAACCAUGACCACCGGUGAUAUUUUUUUGAGUAUCAUUAGCCCAAAAAAUAUUUUAUAAUGGACCAAACCACUAUAUUGGGUCUGAUACGUAUCAGUGUACUGAUACUUGUGAUACUCAAAUUUGUGUGACGUGUCGGUUUUCCAUUGGACCAUAUUUUUUUGGUGAAACAGAGAAAAAAAAAAUCAAUCUCCUCUCAAACUCGCGAUCCGUCUCAAACUCGAUCCAGAGAAAGAAAAAUUCAUUUCCUCCGCCGACCAUCACCGCGAGCUUGAACUGGAAGCAUUUGAAUUUGGAUUAGGAUUUCUCCUCCAUUUUAGUCUCCGGCGGUCUGAUUUCGUUGGAAGAAUUUGAGGUCGGAGCUGGAGAGGGGAUCUAUUGAAUUCGAUGAGAAUUGGUGGGAUAUGGUGAUCGUUAAGACAAAAGGUUCCCAUGGAAUUUUUUAUGGUGGGCUUCUUGUUGCCUUCGCUACUUCUGGCAGGUUGGUUUCUUUCUCUAUCUUCUUUACUUUCACUCAUUUACUCCUUAACAUUGUACCUACUCCAGAUUUUCUUAUAUAGUUGUUCAGUAGAUGUUAAGGUUUAUGAUGUACGAAGAACAAGCUGCUUUAACUGAUUAAGGAGUUGGUUCUGUUCUAGAGAUAUGUUUAUGCCAUCAAGUAAGUAAUUUUGAAUGUGGUAGGGAUCUUCGAAAGAUGAAAGCAGUUUGCUUAAAGCAGUUACAAACGUUCAUACCAUUAUAGAUAAGGAAAUUGCAGGAGAAAUAAAUCCAGAAAAUGUGUAUAUCUGUGGAUUUAGCCAAGGAGGUGAUCUCUCUCUUUGCAUCCCCCGUAGCUACACAUUUCAUGGAUUUACUUACUGAUCUAAGACUCUACAAUGUGUUGAUUUUCUUGCAUUGCGACUUCUGACAUAAGGUUUUCUGCAGGUGCAUUAACCCUGGCUAGUGUUCUUCUUUACCCUAAAGCUCUUGGAGGAGGUUCAGUCUUUAGCGGAUGGAUUCCAUUCAAUAUUUGGAGUUAUGGAUCAAACAACGGAUGCAGAGCUCUUGGUAUUAAAAGGCAACAUUGUACUCAAGGUAACAAUAUCCUAGUGCCUAUCAAGAUUAGAAUAACAUCAGCUCAUCUCUGGUCUAGUUUCUCUAUCAUGAAAACCGGUUUUUUGGUUUAAACGUCUUGUUUGGUUAUGUAAACUGGUACUUUUGUUAACUACAAACAGUUUGUACUUUGCAUUGAUUUGGAAAAUUAUAUGUCAACACUAUAAUUCUUUUAUUUAGUCAACAAAUCAAGUGACUACAUAACUCGAACUGUGAUGUAUUUACAAAUGGAAAAUCUUUUGUCCAAAACAGUAAAAUUUCUUGUCAAAAGUAUGCAAUGUAAAAAUUCUUCUGACCAAAACAAAACUUUCAUACGUUCACUCAAAUUAACAAUUGAUAAUACAUCUAUGUCUGGUAAAUAGCUACCAUUGCCAUCAUAUAAUUUUCUUACAAAUAUUUUGAAAUGGUGUUUCUGUAAUUAUACAAAAUAUUUAUAGUAGAAAAGAAAGACAAAAAAAAUCAUAUCAUAAUAAGUCACCAUAUAAAAACAACCAAAAUAAUCUAUUUUUUUAUUAAUGAUACCGAUACCGGUCUCACCACUGGAAACAGAUUUAUUAGCAGUAUCAUUAAAAAUCUCAAACAAUAAACAAACAUUAAAAUUAAUACUAAAAAAUUCUUAAUGAUACUCUAUGAGUACCAACUAUCUGCAUGCUCUUAGUGUUAAUAAAAUUUGACAAAUACAAUAACAAAUGUAGAAGACACGUUGUUAGGUAUAAUCUGAUGAGCACGAAACCAGAUGUUCAUCAAACACGUACAUCGAUAGGAGAAAGUCAAAAUAGAAAGUCAAUGAGCAUUAAGAAACAUGUAGUUAACGACAAUUAAUGCACUUGAUUAAGAAGAACUUAUUAAUUAUUGAUUUAUCGAAUCAAAUGAUUCAUAUCGAAUUAAACGAAAAAGUGAUCGUUAUUAAUAAUUUCAGGACCAUGAUACAUUGGCAAUGCUUUCGGGUGCGGUAACGGGUACAGUACGGAUCUGGGAGACUUUUUUUUUGUUUGUCGUCAUAAAUUAAUGAUUUAGUUCUAAUUAAUCAUUAGUCAAAUGUUAACCAUUAUGCUUUUGAAAUUUCGGUUUAAUCCCCCAAUUAAAGUAUUAAACCAUUGAUCUAAUUCUCAUUUACGAUUUUAAAUGAAGUACAAUAAUUAAGAGAGUAAAAGCCCAGUAUUUACUACUAAGAUAACUUUAGGCCCAAUAAAAUACCCAAUUCGUAAUUUUACAUACUCCUUCGCCGGCACCGGGAAAUCCGCCGAUGUGAUGGUAAGAAAUAAGAAAUUCUACGAUUUCCCCCGAAAAGCCUAGGACUUUAUUGUUCCGGCCACAUAUUCUACUCUCUAAGGCACUCAAUUUAUCGGCGGAAUUCUCUUUCCGGCUAUUGUUCUUCUAAUUUACAAUUCAGUAAGAGAAAACAUGAGCGACACUUCACGUCCUCUGUCUUGUCUCCGGCUACUCCUAUUGUCCAUAAAGUGUUCGACGAAAAGCCCAAGAUAGAGGAUAGGACUGUGGAGUCGAUUUUUUUGUUCUUACGAGAUGUUCUUAGAUCCUCCAUGAUGAUAACAGAGACAGAGACUCCGAGGAGUGUCCAAGAUUUAACUACAUCUUCGAAGCUUCUGACGCUUUACGCGGGGGACUUAGUGUCUUCUUUGGGCCUAUUUGGUGAAUUGAAAGAUAAAGAUGUGAUUGUUUGGAACAGUAUGAUCACUGGUUCGAAUCAAAAUGGUCAUUACAUUACAUGGCAGCUGUUGGAUUGUUCGUUGAGAUGAUUCAGAAGGGAUAUGAGUUUGAUUCUACGACGCUCUUACUUGCAGCUUCGGCGUUAUCCACGUUACAUCUUUCAAAGAAAUUUCCAAUGGUUCAUUGUUUAGCAAUAGAGACUAGUUUGGUUUCGGAUUCUAGUUUGUGCAAUGCAUUGAUGAUUCUAUAUGCAAAAGGCGAGGACUUGAGCUCCACAGAGUGUGUGUGUGUUCACGCAUAUGGAGCACCGGGACAUUGUUUCUUGGAACACGAUAGUGACUCGAUGUAUUUCAGAUGGGUAUCCCAGGAAAUCGUUGAAAUAUUUCAAGUCGAUGACUGGUUCAGGACAAGAGGCUGAUAGUGUGACUUUUUCAUGCGUUAUCUCAGCUUGCUCUUCUCUUGAAAAACUUCCUUUGGGUGAACCCCUCCACGGGUUGGUUAUAAAAUCAGGUUAUAGUCCAGAAGCUGAGGUCUCUGUGGCCAACUCCAUCAUUUCGAUGUACUCAAAAUGUGAGGACGCCGAGGCGCGGAAACUUUGUUUGAAGAAUUAUUGUGCAAGGAUGUUAUUUCUUGGAAUGCAAUCCUUAAUGGGUUUGCUGCAAAUGGAAUGUUCGAGGAAGCAUUUGGUGUUUUGAAGGAAAUGCAAUCGGUGGAUAAGAUCCAGCCUGAUAUCGCCACCGUGGUUUCAAUAACUUCCAUAUGUGGUGAUUUCUGUUUGUCACGAGAGGGAAGAGCAGUUCAUGGUUAUACGGUUCGCUGGGAGAUGCAAUCCAGAGCUUUAGAGGUAAUAAACAGUGUUAUUGAUAUGUAACGUAAAUGUGGCUUAAAACCUCAGGCUGACUUGUUGUUCAAGACAACAACAGAUCGAGACUUGGUUUCAUGGAACUCGAUAUGAUAUCUGCUUUCGCGCAAAACGGGUUUACACAAGAAGCUAAGAAUCUGUUCAAGGAAGUUUUCAGUGAGUAUUCUUGUGAUUCGUCUGACUCUCUCAUCUUUGGCAAAUCAGUCCACUGUUGGCUGCAAAUGCUAGGGCUUGGGAAUAAUAUCCUUUCGGCUAAUUCAGUAAUAAACAUGUACAUCAGUUGCAGGGACCUUACUUCAGCAUUCCUGCUGUUCGAGUCGAUAUCGGAAACAAGGGAUCUCACAUCUUGGAACUCUGUUAUCGAUGGCUGCGCAUCAAGUGGUCACCAUUCAGAAUCUUUGAGAGCGUUUCAAGCAAUGAGUAUUUUUACCAAAAUAAUUUUUUAGCGUUUGCGUUUUGUAUAUAGACACUUUCAAUUGGUGGAUCAUUAAUUUCGUAAUUACCGCCAUAAAAUCUAGCGUUUCAACAAAUAGCUAGCGUGUCUUUUUUUUUUUUCAACGUCUCUUAUUUUCUGGAUAACCAUGUCUAGAUUGUUUAUGAUAUGGUCUAACCACGACCUACCAAAAUUCAAAUGCACAAGAAAACCUUAAAUAUAAUAAGUAAGAUAUUGAAAAUGUGGAAAUAAAUAUUUCUUCAAAAAAAUUCACUCGAAAAACAUGUCCUAUAUAUGACUAGGUAUUCAUUUUGCAUCAAUGAGAUCAGCCAACUCGACAAGGGUAAAUCCUAACUACAGCAGUCACACCAGAGGUACAACAAAAAAAAAUAUACCUAACACAUUUUCCUAGUGCUAAAACUGAUUUGAGCUUCAAAAAAGAUACCAAACACAUAGAUAAAAUUUAUAAAGAAAUUACAUAGCAAUACAUGGAGAAUAUAAGAUGAAAAUACAUAGAAAUAAAAUUAAAACUUACAUGAAGAAUAAGAUGAAAAUACAUAAAUAUAGGAAAUAUAUAUAUAAUAGGAAAUGAUAUUAGUCUUGUUAAACCCCUGGAAGCGUAAAGUUGUCAAUCUUCAAACCAUUUUGACCGAGUUCCAUAUCUUCCCAAUCCCAGCCAAAGUUCGUGUGUAAUCCAAAAUUUGGAUGUGAAGUACGGCAUUUGUAAGCUAAGAAGAUUAAAUGGUUUCCGCGAAAGAAAUUAUCCAUUGUAGCGUGAAAGCGGUAAUCACUUGUAAUGAAUAGUAUGUUCCGUGGCGGAUGCGGCCGAGGACGGAAUUCGGCGUAUCUCAAAGCAUACGUUUCUAAAAGACAAUCUGCCGCUGGUUCAGUGCUCUUGGCUCUUCUGUGUUGGCUGCACCCAUUGCCUCUCUCAACUGCAUAAAAUGGAUCAAAACCUUGAUUUUUAAGGAUACGUGUACCAGUCGUACCAAAAUUCUUUUUAUCGCCACAAACAAUCCUAGUUGAUGACAGACGCAAUUUGGGAUAAAGCUUGGGGUUGUUCCGAUGUAAGUCGUUUAAGGAGUUUUCUAUAGAGUCAACAAUCUUGGUCAGAUAAUAAUGAUCCGUCACCGGACAAGUGUUGAGGUCCCACAACACGGAUACUUCCUCGUCUGUAAUAAAAAUGAAAUCGUCCCAGAAGAGUUAUAACUCUAUAUUGAUAUAUCAUUGAAAAUCCAGGAGGAGGUAGAGAAAUUAAAACUCUUACCGACAAUUCUUCUCGAAGAUUCUCCGGUGGGGUUGGAGCUGGAGGCCAUGGUGAGUGGAGAAACGGCUGCAGAAUCAAUAAUGGUAGGAAUUUUUAAAUUUUGGCGGAGAACUUGGAUGGGAGACCUUGAGAAUUUAGGGUUACAAUUACAUCUAUAUAAAGGCCAGAGAGUCGUCUCUUCAAAGGAAUCAAAUCGGAGAAGAGAGGUCAUUGAUUGCUUCAAAGGAAUCAAAAGGCCAUGUGAGUUAUCGUACGUAAGAGAAGAAAAUAGACGGUCCAAAUUUAACAUGACCCACUCUUCUUUCUUUGUUCUUUUUUCUUUACAAAAAUAAAUAAAAUAAAUGUAAUAAUUUGGAACCGAUUACAUUAAAGAUAGUCAUGGGACCUUCUUUCAAAUAGCAUCAGUUCACGUUGUUCUGUUUUAGGUUUCGGGUUUGGGUUCAAAACAUUAUAAUUACAAGGUGCUACAAGUUUGAAAUAGUGGGGUCUCAUGAAAAAUUAUAUGAACAUUUUAGCCACCGAUUGACUAUGAUUUAUGCAAAUGAACUCUAUGUAUAUGACGCUAUAAUAUAUUGAAAAUAUAUGAUUUAUCGUUUUAAAGUAAUGUACACCUACAUAAAAAGGAUCAUCAAGGCAUUAAGUCAUGGAACAACUUAAAUAUCCCCAACAAAAGACGUGGAACAUAACAAGACCUGAAAUUUAUUGUUCACUUCCUUGGUGUCGUUUUUUUCUUCCUAUUAGUGCAUGGCUCCUGCAUGCGGAUCUUUUUUUUUUUUUUUUUUGGGGGCAAAGAAAGUGAUAUAUAUUAUAAUUAUUCUUGAUUUUGUUUUAAACUAGUUGUGCCAAGGACAAUGAGAUCGAUAUAUCUAUUACAGUUUUUAUAACUCCUAUUAUUUCAAAAUGUUUUGAAAAACAUUCAAUCGCGGAGAAAUCUCAACCUAAAUGUAAUGAACAAAAUUUAGAACUCAAUUAAUGUUUGUGAAACGAGCAGUCGGUGUCUCGGUGAAAUCAAAUUCAUGGAGAGAUUCCAUGUUGAUGUUGAUGGGAAGGGCUUAUAUAUUGCUAACGUAUUAUUGCUGGGAAAUGAGUGACAGAGAGGUCACUGAUUGAUUUUUGUAAAUAAAAUUUGUAAAAUAUCAAAUUUAAAAAAAAACAAUAAUUAUAUUUAAAGCUUAGACAGAGGACUGGUAAUUUUUUGGUACUAUUUCUACCAAGACCUACCCAAAUUAUUUAUGGUGUCUGAUUCAUGUAAGAAGACAAAAAAACAAUGUACUAUAUGAAAAUUAACUUGCUUUGUCGCAAAGUAGCAUAUGUCUCAAAUCAACCCACAUCCUUCAUUAUAAUUUAAUAACAAUAUUUCCCUUAUUCUGAAUUUUGUAUAUUAAGUUUUUUUUUUUUUUUGUUAAGUUAAUUCUAUACAAAAUAAUGAAAAUCUGAGCAAAAUUUUUAUUUCGUUUAAAGUUUUUUUUUUUAAUCAAAAUUUUUAUUUUGUUUAGAGAAAGUUUUUUCAAUCAGUUCACGUUGUUCUGUUUUAGGUUUCCGCUUUGGGUUCAAAACAUUAUAAUUACAAGGUGCUAAAAUUAAAGUUUGAAAUAGUGGGGUCUCAUGGAAAAUUAUAUGAACAUUUUAGCCACCGAUUGACUAUGAUUUAUGCAAAUGAACUCUAUGUAUAUGACGAUAUAAUAUAUUGGAAAUAUAUGAUUUAUCGUUUUAAAGUAAUGUACACCUACAUAAAAAGGAUCAUGAGAUCGAUAUAUCUAUUACAGUUUUUAUAACUCCUAUUUCAAAAAGUUUUGAAGAACGUUCGAUCACGGAGAAAUCUCGACCUAAAUGAACAAAAUUUAGAGCAGUCGGUGAAAUCAAAUUCAUCGGGAGAUUUCAUGUUGAUGUUGAUGGGAAUGGCCUAUAUAAUUGGUAACGUAUUAUUGCUGGGAAAUGAGAGACAGAGAGGUCAUUGAUUGCUUCAAAGGAAUCAAAAGGCCAUGUGAGUUAUCGUACGUAAGAGAAGAAAAUAGACGGUCCAAAUUUAACAUGACUCACUCUUCUUUCUUUGUUCGUUUUUCUUUACAAAAAUUAUAAAAUAAAUGUAAUAAUUUGGAACCGAUUACAUUAAAGAUAGUCAUGGGACCUUCUUUCAAAUCGUUUUUUAACAUCAGUUCACGUUGAAUCAAAAGUACAAUAGAAGGAGGUUUCAGAAAGCGACAAAACUGUAAUAAUUUCGUAUAUUUAUUUUCGUUUUUUUUUUUUGGUUGUGCAAUAUUAAUUAUGAACUAAAUCAAAUAAAAAUAAAAAGUUAAACGCUUAGACAGAGGACUAGUAAUUGUUUGGUACUAUUUUUUCAAAUACCCUACCAGAAUUAUUGAUGGAAUCUGAUUCUUGCAAGAAGACAAAAUCAAUGUACUAUAUUCAAAAGACUUGCUUUAUGUCUCGAAUCAACCCACAUCCUUCAUUAUAAUUUGAUAACAUUUUCCUCAUUUUGAAUUCUGUAUAUUAAGUUUUUUUUUUUUUGUUUAGCUAGCUAAUUCUAUUAAAAAAAUAUGAAAAUCCGGGCACAUUUUUUAUAUAUCUAAGAAAUUUUUUUUAAUCAAAAUGUUUAGUGUUCAUUUAACCCCUCAAAGUUUAUACACGAUAUACGCACCCUAAAUUCAACAAUAUAUAUAUAUAUAUAUAUAUAUAUAUAUCAACAAUAAUUUUAAAGAAACAAAUACCUAAUUUCUGUAGUGUAGGAGACUAGAAACAAAUAAAACGAGCGAGAGAUUUUGGAAGAAAGAGUUUUAUUUUCUGGCACUAUAGUUUGUCUCAAUCAGAGAGAUUUUGAAGAAAUUGUGUGUUUGGUAGAAGCCUCGGUUUCACUUACAAUAUAAAGCCGCUGAAAACGUAUAGGUUGGACCCACACUUGUUGUCGCUCUAUUAUUUAUUUCGCGUUACAGUGUCUUCAUAUCCAUUUACUCUUUUACCUUAUCUUAUUUACAACGGAAAAAAUACAUCUUUAAAUUGUCUACUUAGAAGAGUGGAUUAUAGAUGAUUGAUGUAUUAUGAGAUCAAAGAGGAUGCAUAGAAUCAAAAAAUAUAUACAAUAAAAAAAACAUGUGAAAGUUAUUUUAAGGAUUCACUUUUCUCUAAUAAUGAUGGAGUUUGUUUUGGUAAUGUACUCUAGAGGUUUCAAAUGCAUCGAUUGAAUAUUUGAAAAGUUUUGUUAUUUGAAGGAUUUAAAAUAGAUCGACCAAUUUUUAAAAGAUUUUUGUUCAUUAAAAUUUAUAAUAUUUGUUUAGUUGUUGUUAGGGUUGAUAUUGGUUAUGUUCUAGUUUAAGAACCUAUAUUAUCUUGCAGCUAGUAAAUUACUUGGUUGUUGAAUAAAGGAAAAAACAAAAAAAGCUUUUCUGAUCAUAAGAAAUUUGAUGUACUACCAUCUUUUUUUUUUUUUUCAAAUUAUUGAAAAGUUAAUUUGAUUGAUCGUUUUAUAUUAGAUAUCCAUUUUAUCACGUUUUUUAAUUUUAUUUUGUUAUUUAAAAGUUAAAACAAACACUGCCUUCUUCUAUGUGUAGGAAAAAUAUACCUUUUUUUUUUUAUUUAACACUUUUUAACAAAUCGAAAAAAGAAAAAUACUGAGUUAGUGGUAUAAUAUUGAAAUGAUCAAAGAAAAUUAAAAGUGACAAGAUUCUAAAUUGUUUGUACAUACUUUAUAUUUCCUACAAAUACCCAACGGGUAAGAGAAAACAGUAAAUGCUUGUGCAUGGAGAGUGUACGGCCAUGACAUCGUCACAGUGUACGUACCAACGAUGACAACGUCUUUUAAUAAUGUGCAAUGGUUUUGUGCAAGCCAAAUAUCGUAAAGAAAGGGCUACAUCAUCUAGCUCCAAAACCAAAGCAAAAACACUUUUAUCAACACUGUAUCAAAGGACAAUGCCAUGAACAAUUUUCGGAGAGAUAGAUACACAAUCUUAGGAAUGAAACUAUACAAUUAAAAUAUACGAUUUUCUUUGGUAUAUAUAUAUAUAUACAUUAUAAGAUAACAAACCAAACUAUCCAUGAAGAUGAGCUGUAAACAAACAUUAAAGAAUAAAAUAAAUAAUUUUUAAAACAAGUUAAAUUUAGAAGAUUAAUAGUAAGGCACAGUUUAAUAAAAUUCUUUUUCUUUUUUUUUGAUGAAAAACACAGUUUAAUAAAAUUCUCCUCGUUAUUUAUUUAUUAUUUUUUAAGAUUGUGAGGAAAAGUUAAGAAAACGUGUGUAAUAUCUAUUUGUAACCUUCCUCCCCCAUUAUAGGAGUUCCUUAUCUAUUGAGUUUUGAGUUUUUUUAUUCAAAGAUUAUUUCAAUAAUAUAAAGGGUAAAUAAUUUUUUGGCGUUAAUUUUGUGAGAAAAUCACGUACUUUACUUUACUUUCAAAACAAUAAAAAAAUCUUAAUUUAAAGCAUCAUAUGAAAAAAUUUCGAGUAUCCUAUACUAUUAUUUGGGGAGUACACUUUAUUAGAUACCCUUAACUAACCUUCUCUUUUGUAAGAAUUUACUUAAUAAUGCCAUUACAAAAAUCUUCUUUUAGAACAAAUUUCAUUCAAUUUAUUAAGGAUAAACAAGUAAAUUAGUAAUUUAUGUUAUUUAAUUAAUUUAAUUAAAUUAUAAAACGAAAAUCUGUUAUUAAUUUUUUUUAAAUGACCAAUCAAAAUGAACAUAUAAGAUUUGAUAUCUAACUUACCAUAUUAAUUUGUUAUUAAUCAUUAAACUUCACCUCUCAUCUUAAUAUGAUUAUAUUAAUAUGAAACAAAUAAAUAAUCAUAUCAUCUACAUAAUAAAAAAAAGUAAUUCUUUUUCUGCAUAUGCCAAGAUUUGAAUUUUUAAAAACGCAUAUAAAUUGUUUAAUCUAUAAAGGAAACAAUUAAACGGGUCAAAAAUUGAGAGUUGAGUAAUAUAUUUCUUUUACACAAAAAUAAAGUCAACAAAAAUUCCGACUGAGCAAAAAAAAUAAAGUCAACAAAAAUUUCGACUGAGCAACGGGUCAGAAUUUGAAUAUUUAUAUUCGAUUUCAUACAUUUAUUUUUUUGAAAUGUAUAAUUUUAUAUACUACAAUAAAAAUUUAAAUAUUUUAAUUUGCAACAUUUAAAAUAAGUUUUACUUGAUAUUUUUAGAGAAUAUCAUUAAUACUUAAUAGUUCAAAAAGUUAAAAAUUAUAAAUGCUCUAAUUUGAUUAUUUUUAAAAAUAUUUAUAAUAGGUAGCGGGUUAAAUAUAAUAUAUUAUACGAUGAAAUGAGUUUUGAUCCUUAUAACUAUUUGAAUAGUUAUAUUUAAUUUCAUAUAAUUUGUUUUUUGAAAUUCAUAAUUUUAUAAACUACAAAAAAAAAUUAAAGAUUUUAAUUUGAAAUAUUUAAAAAUAAUGUAGAACAUUUAAAUAUGGUUUGACACCUCUAAAUAUUUGAAAAUUUGAUUCCGCAAGCAAUUUUAGAAUUAACGAAUAAUAGAUUAUGCACACAAUAUUUUAAAAUGAAAUAUUGAGAUUCUAAAAUAAAAAUAUAGACUCCACGCACGGGUUGAUUUUGGUAUUAUUAUAUACUAAAUAUAUGUUUAUAACAUAUUCGAUUAUGCGAAUAAUUGGUAAAUUCCGUAAUUAUAAAUCUCAAACAAAUUCUGUAAUUAGAUUAGCUUAAACAAAUCUCUAUUUCAACAACCAAAGAAUUAUAAAUUGAAAAAGAAUUUUCUAAAUUAAUUCAAAAUAAUAGCUAAUUUUCUUAAUUAAUUCAAAAUAAUCUAUGUUUUAUAUGCGAUUCAUUUAUGAUAUUUUAAUUUUUGAUCUAACUGAACAUAUGCAAUCCUAUUUUGUGGUUGUUAACAUAAAUUAACUCAUUGUUCAAAAAAUAUUACUUUUUAAAAAAUAAAAUUAUUUUCCGUUUUCAUAUCUUUAAAAAAAAAAUUAUCCAUAAUUGAGUAUUAUAGAAAAAAUUCUAUAUUUAUUCUAAUAUUGUAUAUAGGGACUGACAAAAAAAUUAAUAUUUUUUCACUUACUAUUAUAAUAUAUUAAAACUUAGUUUUAAUAUAUAUAUUAUAUAAAUUUUGUAAUAAAUAAAAUUUAACCCGUACUUUAGUACGGGUGAUGAUCUAGUAAACAUAUAAACCGGAUGGCCAUCUGCUACUGCAACAAUAUAAUCAACACACACAUAUUCCAUGAAAAUGUCAGAUACUAUAUAUAUGCGUAAUUAAAUUAAGAAUGCGUGAUUACUGAUUAAAUUAAGUCGCGGAUAUGCGUGUUUAAAUUAAGAUUGUUAGAUACAAUUGAUUCUAUUAUAUUUUUGCAAUCCUAUCAAAAUGUCAGAUAAUCUAUAUAUAUAUAUAUAUAUAUAUACGUACGUACUAAAAAGAAAAAGAGGUUUAGGAGUGGACAAAAUAUCAUUUAAAUUGUUCAGGAUUUUUUUUUGUUUUUUUUUUUUUUUUUUUGGUAUCAAUGUUAAGUUGAUUUUUAUUUGUUCUUCACUGCUUUAUGGAAAAGGAACUAUGAAUGAAGGAUGCAGCAGAAAGUAUGGAGGUGUCUGGUGAAUACGACAUAUAAAUUCUCUCUCAUGUGACAGGUUGUAUAUAUGUGUACUAUGUUAACCACGUAUUUGCCAAACAUUUAAUGCAAAAUUUAUCUGACACUAAGGCACUAAAUUAAAGUAGGGUAUUACAUAAUAAAGUUUUGUACCUUGGUAGUUGUAUUAUAAUCAUCAUAUUAGAUUAGGGUGUUAAAAGUAGAUAGUACUAAAUUAAAUGCAAAAUUUAUCUGACACUAAGGCACUAAAUUAAAGUAUAUAUGUAUUACAGUUUUUAUAACUCCUAUUAUUUCAAAAUGUUUUGAAAAACGUUCAAUCGCGGAGAAAUCUCAACCUAAAUGUAAUGAACAAAAUUUAGAACUCAAUUAAUGUUUGUGAAACGAGCAGUCGGUGUCUCGGUGAAAUCAAAUUCAUGGAGAGAUUCCAUGUUGAUGUUGAUGGGAAGGGCUUAUAUAUUGCUAACGUAUUAUAGCUGGGAAAUGAGUGACAGAGAGGUCACUGAUUGAUUUUUGUAAAUAAAAUUUGUAAAAUAUUAAAUUUAAAAAAAAACAAUAAUUAUAUUUAAAGGCUUAGACAGAGGACUGGUAAUUUUUUGGUACUAUUUCUACCAAGACCUACCCAAAUUAUUUAUGGUGUCUGAUUCAUAUAAGAAGACAAAAAAUUAAAAACAAUGUACUAUAUGAAAAUUAACUUGCUUUGUCGCAAAGUAGCAUAAAGGCCAGAGAGUCGUCUCUUCAAAGGAAUCAAAUCAGAGAAGAGAGGUCAUUGAUUGCUUCAAAAGAAUCAAAAGGCCAUGUGAGUUAUCGUACGUAAGAGAAGAAAAUAGACAGUCCAAAUUUAAUAUGACUCACUCUUCUUUCUUUGUUCGUUUUUCUUUACAAAAAAAUAUAAAAUAAAUAUAAUAAUUUGGAACCGAUUACAUUAAAGAUAGUCAUGGGAUCUUCUUUCAAAUCGUUUUUUAACAUCAGUUCACGUUGAAUCAAAAGUACAAUAGAAGGAGGUUUCAGAAAGCGACAAAACUGUAAUAAUUUCGUAUAUUUAUUUUCGUUUUUUUUUUUUGGUUGUGCAAUAUUAAUUAUGAACUAAAUCAAAUAAAAAUAAAAAGUUAAACGUUUAGACAGAGGACUAGUAAUUGUUUGGUACUAUUUUUUCAAAUACCCUACCAGAAUUAUUGAUGGAAUCUGAUUCUUGCAAGAAGACAAAAUCAAUGUACUAUAUUCAAAAGACUUGCUUUAUGUCUCGAAUCAACCCACAUCCUUCAUUAUAAUUUGAUAACAUUUUCCUCAUUUUGAAUUCUGUAUAUUAAGUUUUUUUUUUUUGUUUAGCUAGCUAAUUCUAUUAAAAAAAUAUGAAAAUCCGGGCACAUUUUUUAUAUAUCUAAGAAAGUUUUUUUAAUCAAAAUGUUUAGUGUUCAUUUAACCCCUCAAAGUUUAUACACGAUAUACGCACCCUAAAUUCAACAAUAUAUAUAUAUAUAUAUCAACAAUAAUUUUAAAGAACCUCAAAAUUAUUAGUCCAGCUUGUUAAUAAGAUAUCUUUAGAAUUUGUGUUCACUAAGAAACCUACAAAGCUCCUCAUGUACGAUGAAAAUGUAGAAGCUUUUGGAACGAUACGUUAGAAUACGUAAACGGAAUUAGUCAUCAUUUGUAUUGUAUACAGUGUUUUCUUUUUGGAUAAGAAGUUGUAUACUACUGGUUUCAAUUACUUGUAAGAUUUGACAUAUAAAACUCAGUUAACAAGGGGAAAUAAAGGUGCAAAAAACAACACAUACCUAAUUAAAAGAGAUGAAAAGAGUUAAAUAUAAAUAAUAUAUUUACAAAUAUCUAAAUCAUCAAAAUUAUGGAGUUAAGGAUACUUUGAAAAGAAAAAAAAAGUUUAUUUCUCUUAAUAAUUUAUUUAUUUCUAGAAAAAAAAUAAUCUUUCUUUUCUUUGCUUCCCUUGAUGGGACAUCUUUUGGAGAAUACAAAUAAAGUUCAGUAAACUGAAAAUGUAUGACAUCUUUGAUUAAAUGUAGGACGAGAACUCGAGAAGAGUAUAUAUGUUAGGGUUAACCAAAAAUAUUAAUUAAGAGAAAUAUAAGUCUUAUACUUAAUUUUAAACGGCUUGAGCUUAUUCGUUGGAACACAAAGUCUGUGUUUAAAACUUGAGGUUUAUGCAAAGACUGUGUAACUAGAAUAGACCAGUAAUAGUGUCGAACUAAAAAGUUGCCUUAUGAAGUGUCAUUUUGAUUAAGUGGAGUCUGUAGAUACAACUUAUAUAUAUAUAUAUAUAUAUAUAUAUCGUGUUUUAAAAGCUCAUAAUGCCACUAGAGUUUUUACCUAGUUUAACAACUUGACGGAAAUAGUAUUAGCAGUAUUACCUAAUUUGGUACAUGAUUAAGGUGUUAUACAGUAUAAUGUUGUUAUAUAUUGUUUUAUAUGGUGAGUUUCAGUUGAUGAUUAUGAGUUGUAAACUUAGAUUGCAAAUAUAUAGUUGCAUUUUUAGAAGAAAACUUAAAAAAUGAAGAAGAAGAUAACAAUCACAACACAAAUCUCAUGAAUGGGAGAGAAGGCAAUGGAGCUAUUCAAGGAAAUGAUAUAAGUAGUGGUAACUCAGGGAUGGAACCAAACAAGAGCACUUUCAUAAGCCUAUUGUCAGCUUGCAGCCACUCUGGGUUUAUAGAUGAAGGUCUAAGAUAUUACAACCAAAUGGAGAAAAAAUUUGGGGUUAAACCAGUUACCGAGCAUCGUGUUUGUAUCUGUUGAUGGGUUUGACAAAACCAACAAAAUCUGGCCCAUUAAAGCCCAUACGAAAUUGACAUGAGGAGAAAGAAUAAUAAAAGUGGCCCAUCAAAUACUCUUAUAUAUCUCUCUACCUGGGAUUAGAGAUAGAGGUGGUAGGUGCGAGACAAGACAAGCUAAAGAGAGUUCUAGAAAAGAGAGAUACAAGAGCUUCCUAAGCAAGCUUUCUUCUUCCUCUUAGUUGUUUUUGAAUCUUGUUCUUCUUGUGUGAAAAAUUUGUAAAACCAAAACAUCGGUGGUAGGUUUGUAACCUCUUUGAGAUAGUGAAGCUUUGGAAACAAGAAAUCUCCCCAAGACGUAGCAGUUGAUCUUCCCCAAAAUAAGCUAAUAAUGAAAAGGAAAAAUUUAAAAACUUGAAGAAAAUAUUAUUAGUCACACAAAAAUUUCAUUAAAUCUUUUUUGAAGUAACCCGCACAAAGUUGUGUUAUAAUAAAAAAAAAGGGACAACGAUGUAUUUCCCCUCAUAACUUUCAUAUAGCAUUACUUCCACCCAAAGUUUCACGCCCUCUCUAUUUCUCCCCAGAAGCAUAGUUCUACAGUUAUUUCCCCCAGAUAUAAAGUUAAAAACCUAUUUCAACAUAUAAUGAAAGUUCGAAACUAAUUUUCACAUAGAGCUAGGUUAAUGUUGGUUUACUGUAGACUAAUCUAGUUUUAACCAAUAUAAACGAACUUAAACCAAACCUAAACCAAUUUAACUCUAACCCCAGACCCGAUUAAAUCCCCAAAUCAUAAAAUCCCUCAAAUUAGAAAUAUCCCUAAAUCAAAAACCCUUCCUCACGAACACUAGUUGCGAGAAGAAAGUUACCCGAAACCUCUAAUUGCAAGUUCAUUGAUCUUCGUCUAUGUCAGUUCUAGAGAUCGAGAUGAACAAUGUUCCUAUUGAUGAGGAACCCGAUGAUGAAGAUCAAGAAGACCAAACCGCACGAAAUGAUUUCAACAUCGAGCAAGUAGUAAUCGAUUUCAUCGAUGAGCCGUGUAUUCGUCACGAUGUCAUUCCCGACAGUGACAGUGAUGAAGACGACGAUGUUCAACGGGGUAGAGAUCGUAACGAGAUCAUACGUGGUGAUGGGAAUUUGUACAUGGACCAAGUGUUCUACAAUAAAAUCGCGUUUAAAGAAGUUGUCCUUGACUACGCUCUUCGAUUAGGUAGGAAUAUCAGACAGUGCAGGUAUGAUAAAACAAAGCUUGGGUAUCGUUGUAAUGUUGAUGUUUGCAGAUGGCGUAUCUAUUGCUCUGUUAGUUCUAAGUCUGAUAAGUGGCAAGUUACAAGAUUUAUUGAAAAGCAUAGUUGUACGUUAAUGGGGAGUGUGAGCUUAUUAGAGUGCCAGUGAUUGCAAGAUUGUUUCUUGACAAGAUUCGAGAUGAACCUGUUUACUUUAUGCCAAUGAAGAUUGAAGAACUGUUAAUGAAAAAAUGGAAGAUUAGUGUAUUGAGGCCUCAAUGCCAAGAUGCUAGGCUUAAAGCUUUGAAAUGGAUUGAUAAAGAAUAUGAUGAGCAAUUUGCACGGAUUUGAGAUUUUGGUGCUGAGAUAGAAGAAUCAAAUUCGGGUUCUACGGUGGAAAUUGAUACGCUGACAAAUGAGAAUGGUGAGGAUGAAUUCAAUAGAUGCUACGUGUGCUUUGACAGUCUUAGAAGAACAUGGAAGGAGUCUUGUAGGCCAAUAUUAGGAGUAGAUGGUUGUUUCGUAAGAGAAAAAACCAAAGGUCAGCUGUUGGUAGCUUUAGGGCGAGACGCGGACAACGCUAUAUAUCCAGUGGCAUGGGGCAUUUUCCAAGUGGAGAAUGACCCUAAUUGGUUAUGGUUUGUGAACAAGAUUAAAGCUGAUUUAGGACUAAAAGAUGGUGAAGGAUACAUAUUGGUCUCGGAUCGUCAAAAAGUAUUAAUGUUUAUAUUGGUUACUACUUUGUUUUCUACUAUAUUUAUCUACUUUAACUUGUGGUUCUGUUAUAGGGAUUGAUUAGAGCUGUGGAGAUAGAGUUACCUCAUAUUGAACAUAGGAUGUGUGUGAGACACAUAUAUGGGAAUUUAAAGGCAAAUCAUGGUAAGAAAUCACAGAUGAAGCCGUUUAUCUGGAAUCUAGCAUGGAGUUACAAUGAGGCUGAGUAUAGAGAAAACCUGGAGAAAUUGAAGCAGUAUGAUAUGUAGUGUAGAGCUUUCUACAAAAUUGGCCACUAUGUUGAAGAUGUUGAGAACAACUCCACAUAAUCAUUUAAUAACACGAUAGUCAAAGCAAGAGAGAAGCCACUGGUACCUAUGUUAGAAAAUGAUUGCUCGACUUGCCAUGGUACGUAUUGCCAAAAGAAGUGUUAAAUCUCAUGAUCACAAGGGUUUAUGUACACCAUAUGCGGAAGAAUAUCUUGCAAAAGAGCUUGAAGAUGCUGCAGAAGUUAAGGUUCACAGAAGUACAAAUAAGAUGUUAUGCAUUGUGGGGUAUGUGGUGCGGCUAAUCACAACUCUAGGUUUCAUAAGAAGAAGAAAGAGGUUUGUGUUCCAUAAUCUAAUGUGUCUAUGUACUAUGUUUUAUGUGCUUUGUUUAGUUCUUUUAUUUAUGUUGUUAUUACAGUUUCCUCAAGGUGAACCUUCUCAAUGAACUGUUACGCAGAAAAUGAGCUUGAACUGAGUUUGGAGAUAGGGUAGAAGAAGCUUUUGGUCUGUUUUUUGUAAAAACUUUUGGUCUGUUUUUAGGGUCUGUUUUUCAUUCUUCUCAAUUGUUUUUGUUAUGUUAUUGCUCUGAGACAAAGCAUAGACAAAGAUUCUGUUUGAGUUUAUUUUUUUGAUAAUAGUGAGAUCAGUUUAGACAAAGAUUGUAAGCCUUGUUUUUGAGUUCCUCAUUGAUGUAUCAAUUAAAUAUUAAUUAAAUAUAUAUAUAUUUCAAAAACUUGAAGAAAAUAUUAUUAGUCACACAAAAAUUUCAUUAUAACUCUUUUGAAAUAACCCGCACAAAGUUGUUAUAAUAAAAAAAAACAACUAAAACUUUCUGGCCUUCUAAUUAUAAAGGUGAUUCUUGCUUCUGUUCUGAGACUGAGUGACAAUUAACAUUUUCUUAUAAAGGAUAAUAAUAAAGUUCUUAGUAAACCAAUAGGGCUUGUAUGAUAUCUGCCAGGCCCAGCCCAAUAAGAGACUCGCUAGCCUUUAUACAGAUAGACGCAGAGGAAUUGCGGCGCAGUUGUAACCCUAGAUUCACAAAGUCUCUCAUCCGGUGCCGACGAAACCAUGUCCGAUACCGACGAGACCAUGUCCGUGUUUGACAAAUAUGUGUCCGAUAAUUCGCUGUCCUCCGCCGAAACCAUUGAUCCGAUCGAAAAAUACCUAAGUAAGAUCUCUCUCUCUCUCUCAUCUUAGUCGAAAUUGUUUGUCUAUGAUCUGGAUUAGCUUUCAUCUGAUCGAUCUGUCAUUAGUAAACUAGCGUAUAUCUAAUCGUCGAUCUGCCAUAGUAAAUCCCUUUAUUAUAACUUAUUUUAUUCACGUUCUGAAUUUUUUUUCCGUCUCGAAACCUGGCAGAUGCUGACGCAUGCAUCUUUUGGGACAUGGGGAGUUACCCAAUCCCUAAUGGUGUGGAUCCUUGUUUUGUACUAAAGAAAAUCAAAUCAGAGCUCGCGGAUAUAGGUUGUCGUGUGGAUGUGUCUAUCCACGCUUACGGUAAUAAUGUCUCGGAUGGUGAAUUACUAUCUGCAGCUGCCGGAAUCAAAUUCGAUCUCUUACCCGAAGGUGAUAUUAUUCUCCUUCUCUGUUUAUUUUUUUGACAUAUACAUGUCGUCCCUAAUCUAGAUCUCUGUUGAUGUACUUUCCAGGAGAUAAAGACGCGGGAAUUUAUUCCAUGUUAGUGGACAUGUUCCAAUGGGCACUGAAAAGUUCUUCAACAAGAAAUUUGAUUGUCCUCUCAAAAAACAUGGAUAAUCCAGACGUGCUGAAACAUUUUGACUCUUUGUGGAGGUGGAAAUGUGGUCUUAUAUUAUCACCAACAUGGGUACCUGAAGUGUUGAUGGAGGAAACCGCUCACAACGUCUUUGACCAGAACAAGCGGAAAGCAGAUACUCUUGCUGAUUCUGAUCACCCAUCUAAAACCCGUAAAGUCACAACAGAGUACAUCUCAUCAUCUGCAGCGCCUAAUAUUUUUCUCGGUAACUCGGCUGAAACCAUGUCCAGAUUAUUCCCCAUUCCCACCACCGCUCGUGAAAUGUGUAAGUUGUAUCCCUUGCUCGAAAUUGUUUGA
rnacentral:lncRNA from 1 species